rnacentral:lncRNA from 1 species
ACAACUGCAGCGAGAGAAGAGGCUGGCAGCAUGGGUGGCAGGAGGCUUGGCAGCCUCACAGGAUGCCUGCAAAUACCUUUCACUUAUGCAGUUUGGCAGUGCAGUGGUGCAUGGAGACAGCGUCUUGGGCCUGGCACCCACAGCCACUUAGGAAGUUGGAGUCCUGGAGAGGAGAACACAGAACGUGGACAACUAGCUGUCAAAUUGCAGUAAAAGUUGGUUCAGGAAAAGUGGAAGCUACCCAGAUGUCUACCAAUUGAGAUGAACCAUCCAAUCUCCUGCCUGGAGUAUUGAAGCCUGGCUACUGUGACUGUGGGGAGCGGAUUAAUGGUCUCAGCAUUCAAAGCUUCUAUUCUGGAAUAGAACAGCUAGCAUACUACCAAGACUUUUCAAGGAGCAAGAAUGGAGCUCCCUGGAGAACUGACUGAACAUGGCUUCAGAGGCAGUAUCCAUGUCACAUUUCAAAGGCCAGAUCUUUCCCAGGGCUUAAGCUGUUCCUUGGAUACUUUUGCUGAUGGUUUACACAUCUUCUUCCCACAUUAUAUUGUAACUUUCUU